rnacentral:piRNA from 1 species
UGCAGCCUCACAUGAACCUCCCAGGUC